AAUAGCUCAGUUGGUAGAGCAAUAGAAGUCAACGCAGGUUCGAAUCCUGCACCGAUUA
rnacentral:tRNA from 1 species